rnacentral:lncRNA from 1 species
UCAGGUUGUGGGAUGGAUGAGAAGCAUGUUUCAAGACCCCAUAAUGAACCUUCCCAUAAAACAGCCAUGGGUAUGAGAAGCAGAGGGCUACAUAAGGGAUAUGUCAGGCAGAUGAGAGCUUUUAGCCUGGAGGAGAUGUCAAGUUUAUCUGCCAUCAUGUCUCCUGUGGGCACUGCUGAUACUUGCUUCUCCUUUCAACAUCGUUUGAUCCUCCCAAAGUUUCGCUUUGUUUCUGUCUGGCUGGAAAAAAUGAUGAAACUGAAAUCUGGAGCCUAAGAAAAUGAAGACUAGUGACUUGUUCUUACCCCUACCAGAUCUUGAUUACAGAAGACAACAUCCAGGGCCACGAACUGCAGCUGUUUACCCACAAGUGGCCCAGACCUCUGGGAAAAGAGAAGGCAGCUGACUGUGGCACAAUACCCUGACUCAAGCCAGGUCACCCCACAAAGAGACACCUUGCCCACAAGUCAGUCACUGGUCUCUCUGUUAAGUGAACCCAAUGCUCUGGUGGAGAAGACAGGCCCUCCAGUCACACAGCAGAGGCUGGCAUUUGUUGAGCUACAUGAAAGUUAUUACACUUCACACCCCUGAAGGGAAACUACAUAGCAAGGGAACAGCUGUUAGGUCUUUAUACAGUCACUCUAGCAGCAUGCCAGGUCCCCUUAGAUACUGAAAGACCACUGUCAGGUCUCUCUGGAGCCUUCUCUUCUCCAGGAUAAAAAGCCCCAGCUCUUUCAGCCUGUCAAAAUUGAAAAACUCAGAGUUAAUGGAAUCAGUGGGUGAAACUCUUCCCUUUUUCACCUCCUUCCACGAGUGUCAAAAUGCAUGGAUUUUUAUAGGCCUUAUUCUCAUGCAAUGCCACAAAUCAUAUGCUUCAGCUUUGUGCAUGCCUAAGCAUAUAUAAUACUGAAGUCCAAAGAUGGUAAUAGAUUUUAGUUUUAUUCAAAACCAAAUAAUAGUGGGCAAAGUUACACUGUGAUUUAUUUUUCCUCAGAAGCCAGUACUCUAAUGCAUGGUUUCCUUCCUCCUGUUUCCUGCUUUUAGUAGCAAGAAGAAUUGUUAUUUGGCAAAUAACAUUUUCUGCUCUACCCUGUGCUAAACUGACAAAUGUAGAAAGAGAGUGAAAAUAGCAAAGAAGUGCAGUGAUAAUACAGCCAUUCCCUACUUUUCUAAAGAACCACACAAAUAUGAAUGAGUCAUGUAAUAUAACAUAGGGUUACCUUUUACAGUACCAACGUUAUAAAGAGAAAUAAAAGCAUAUAGAUCUUUGGAAAAUGAGUUUUGCUUUCCAUUCUGUUGUUCCAAAAACACUGUAUUAUACACAACAAAGCUAGUAACUACUGAAAAUAUAUAGAAAGAAGGAAAGCCUUAUUUUCCAUACCAGGGACAGCAGAAAACAUUAUCUAACAUUGCUGUAAAGAGUAUUUAAACAUUGUCUGACCAACAAGCUUUUUGCUUUGAGUUUCUUUUCUCAUGGAAGCAUUCAAGUCUGAGCUCUGAUGCAUCUGCAUACAACUGCAGGACACUUUUUGUUCACAUAAAAUUGCAGUAAAGCGGUGUUUUAAUCUGAGAGAUUAUCAUGGAAGAACGCCUCAUGCUGCUAAGCCUUCCUCUCCCUCAAGUAUUUUAAGUCAAAAUGCCAAGAUGAGAAAUUGUGUUUGCUCAACACCGGUCAAGUUGCCAGUAGCUGCUUUGAGUGGAAAUCAAGUGAUGCAAAGAACCUUAACUGAGGCAAAUCCCAUUCCGAGUGAGGGACUGGUACACUGUUGCUGAGUCCCUGUCUAAUUAGCUCCAGCAGCCUCCGUGCCCGUGCUUCAAUUAGUACACGGUAAUUGUAAUUUCACUCUAACCUUAUUUUUGAUCUCACAUAAUGCCUCAGGUUGGAUAAACUUUUUUCCUCCUGUCAGUGGGGAGUUGGAAGCAGUGAGUUAGAAGGGCCCCCCAGACCUCGCCAGGCAGCUGCUGUUCCUGCUAUGUAGAAAUGAAUGCUUCACCCUUCAGCUACAGCUAAAUUAGAAAUCUUUGAGCUCCUAAUCAUUUCCGAUAGUUUGGCCUAAUUGAAUCUAAGUGCUUUUGCAUUCAAACUAGAAUGCUCAGCUGGGCUGAAGCUGGAGAGCUGUGACUCUGUUGUGCAGCCCUGGCAGCACCAGCCCUCCCCAGCACCAACAGGUGCCUCCACGUGGGUUUGGGGAGUGUGACUCAGGAGUCAGCAGGGUGAGAGCUGUGCUGAGGUCAUGACAGCACUCAGCCAAAGCUGCCCAGGUUCUCCCAUCUGGGUCUGCCGGAGGAGUUGCUGCUGUCUUUUCCCUAAAUAUAGCAAAGCCAUUGGCGAAAUACCAUUACUUUCCCUAAUAAAUCCUCAUCUUACAGGCUUCUGUAGUAGGGCAACACAUGCCAUUCAGGAUCGAUUCAUACUCAGUCUUUUUUAAUUAUUAUUAUUAUUUUUUACAAAUUCUGCUGUUCUCUCUAACGUUCAGGCAGGAAGAAGCGACGUUUGCAUCACAUCUCUAUUCAGAAGCCUCUUCUAAGAACACCACACAACUGCUGCUCUGUGUAGCAUCUGCUACUGAUCUAUUAAUAAUCACAAUAGUAGCAUUAGUAUUACUAUCAAGCACAAAAACAGAAUACGAACCCAUAAUCUUAUCCCCAAGCUAAGAAUGAUAUGAUUGAUGGUAUGGAUAAUAUCUAAUAAUCAUCUGGCGGCUAAAAUUAUAUCCCAACAAACUAAAUAGACUUGUUCCUUUUAUUUCAGAGACUAAGUCUAAUUAGGAGCAGUCCUGAUGAAUCUAGGAGGUUGAAAGGGUUGUCGUGCACUCCAAGUAAAUCAGGCUCUGGGGCUCUAACAUUUAAAACUCACAAUUUCCGACUUUCUAAACUACACUCCCAAAGCAAAUAUCAUUGCAAUACAGGAACAGGAAAGCCAUUUAGAAAAGAAGAGUUAUUUUCAUCAGAAUGAAAAACACACUCUUACAAUCACUGGGUUUAAUCCUAUGCUCCAUUAGCAGGAAAAUUUUCCAUUGAAGUCAGCGCGGAUCUUGCUUUCAUAAAAGAAUUGUGUAUUCUGCAGCAACAUCUCAUGUGGCUAUCAGUAAAAUCAGUGGGAAGCUUGCUUCUGAAGGUAAUGGUAGUAAAAUGAAUGAAAUGCUCUGCGGUGUUUCAUAAUAUGCCAUAGCAGCAGCAAAAGAACUGUUGAUCUCGGAAAUUGUGGAGGUGCACAUCCAAGGAUGGACUUGCUUCUGCUAAAGAAAUGCAUAAGGGUGGGCCUGAAAUUUAAAAGAACCCGUCAGAGUGACCCACACAGCAACACGGGAGGAAUGUAGACCUCCACACCUUAUGUGUUCAUAAUAAUUCCCCUGACGACAAAUCACCUGAUCCACACUAUGACUUCAGUGAUGCAGGUAACAUUCAGUGCAGCAUCUCAUUUUUGCUAUUUCUAACUUUCCUUAUGCCUUUCCUAAAACUCCCUUUUUCUUCCCCAGAAAUUUCUCAAAAACUGCUGAUGCCUUUUUUUUUUUCCCCCUAAAUGAAAGCAGUUGUUUCAUUUGACCAGGCAGCAAUAGUCUUUUGAUUUUUAAUUUGCCAGGAAGCCAGAGAAUCUUCCAUUUGAUCCAAAGAGAUUCAUUUGCUUUUUCCUUCUUUGAACUCUUUCAUCCAUGCUCAGCAAAGCUCAUAGAUGACCUUCUGAAAUGCAAGUCUGUUUUGGCAAUUAGAAACAGCAUGUAGCCUAACAAACUCUCUUCAGUCCUCAUGGCGCAGUAUGUAGAACUGCUGUGCUAUCUUGUAUAACACCCCAGAGCUCUCCAACAGAUAUUCACAACGUGCACGUGAAGAAGGGUGCUGCACAAUUCUCACCAGCUCUUCUGCAUGAACUUACAAUAUUGCCUUUGGACUUAUGCCAGGGAAACUAUUUAACUUCUCACAGCGUUCUUUUCGGCACAGUCAGUACUCCUCAAAUAAUUGAGAACAACAGCCUGCAAAUCUAUUGAUUUAGAAGAAAUAAAUGAGAAAUCAAUUCAUAGAAUUAACACGUGUUGCCCCAAUAUUGCUUUUAACCAGUUUAAGCACAAAGUACCUCCAGUUCCAAUUUUAUGCAAAAAAAUGCAUAAUUUUUAUCUGAGCAGAUACUGAAGCAUUAGAGUUUUCCAUGAAUAACUGUCAGAAUGACCUAUCAGUUGCUCACGGUUUGUUGCAGACGCUCACAAAUGCCUAUAAAUGUUAAUAUAUUAUUGGGUGGCCUUGUAAAAAUGAUCAGCAAUGCAAAAAGGAAAAGGUAUUAUUACAAAUAAAUGUUGACAAUUUAUUCUUCAGUUCAAAGUGUCACUUACCAGUAAAGGUUCCACCAUCCAAAAGGCUGAAGGCAUAAUAAUUCAUCAGCUGAAUAACAACUGAACGCUGUAACAAUAAAAAUUGCUUUCAGGUUUCCACAUAGUCUCCAAAUAGUUCUGUUUUUCCCUGGUUGCUGAAAUCCCAACAGGUUUAUUGCCUGACCCUGCAGUACUUGGUAGCACUUACGCUGGACUUGACAUUGAGUCCACACCUGGCCUCUCACAUUAACAGCAGACCUUUUGGGGACUUUUAGCAUGGUUUUAGCCCCACACAAGUGCCCCAGCAGUUCACAGGCAAGGUUCAAGUGCUGGCACUGGCCAAGGGUGGUUGCACACAUACGCACCCUGCUCAAGCUUAGAUAACCCAGAUAAGGCAGUGGAGUUACACUGACUUUCACAUCAAUCAAUCGUCUGUGGAUGAACAACUUACACAGAGAUUAAAAACAAAUCUAGUCUUUACAAUUCAGUUGAUUUGGUUCGGUGAUUGUACGACUUCACAGUUGUAUUAAUUUCCUUUCUUAGUCAGUUAUUACAGCACUCACUGAUCUUAGACCCUUGGUAGAAGAAAAGCAGGUAAAAAAAUCAGUGUGCCAUAAAUCAUCUUUUCUUUGAGAUGCAUGAAAAACUGUACGUUUAAAUUCCUAUUCACACUUUUCAUCUGCUGUUCUUCUGUUGCAGCCCUGCCCCAAAAGACCCUGGUAUCACACAGGAGAUGCAUAGACCAGGCAGCCAAUACAUAGAAUCAUAGAAUCACCGAGGUUGGAAGAGACCCACAUGAUCACCCAGUCCAACCAUUCACCCAUCACCAACAGUUCUCAUUAAACCAUGUCCUUCAACACAACGUCCAAACAUUCCUUGAACACAUCUGGGGUUGGCAACUCCACCACCUCCCUGGGCAGCCCAUCCCAGUUCCUAUAUACAAACAGCAUAGUGAAAAAAACAAACAAACAAACACAGAGAGGAGAUGAUAGAUAGAAUUUGGGCAUGGAAGAGGCUUGAAGGGGAAAGCACAUUAAAAGCAUGGAAUAAAACACAGUAAAAAUCUGCUACAGUGAAGCAAAAUCUAUGGUAGGAAUCACAUGAAAUGAAUUAUGCGUUAUCUGAUAUCUGAUUUUAUUCUAAGCCAUAUGAGACUGUAGCCAGGGCACCAAAUCAGCAUCUUAAUGCACUAACUUUCCCACAAAAACUUCUCCCCAUCUCCCACCUGAGGAGGCACCUCUCAGGGUGAGCAGGACAAGAGCUCCCAGGGUCUUGUGGAAUGCAUGGGCUAAGGGAGAGGGAUCAGACUGACCACGAUCCCUCACAGACCCUCUGCUGCUGGAGUGAUCUGCAGAAUCACAGAAUUAUAGGGGUUGGAAGGGACCUCCAGAGAUCAUCAAGUCCAAUCCCCCAGCUGCAGCAGGUUCCCUACAGAAGGUCACACAGGUAGGCAUCCAGACAGGUCUUCAAUAUCUCCAGAGAAGGAAACUCCACAGCCUCUCUGGGUAGCCUGUUCCAGUACUCAUUCAGGGGGUGGAACGACUGAGAAGUAAAUCUCAGCCAAUUUUACUCACCAUGUCUUCUCUGCAGACUUCUCAUAACUUUUUCCCCAUUGAGUACAGUCUUCUUUCCCCCUUCCCUCCUCAGUUACACCCAGGUCAAAGUCAGCCACCUAUAAGUCGUGCUGUUCUUCCACGUGCACGUGGCAGCCCAAUGUAGGCAUCAGCAGCAUGGUUCAUCAGAACAGAUGUGGACAUCUGAACUAUCUGUCUAGACUCCAUUUAUCAUUUACUGAAGCAGGAACUCGUGCCAGGCAACUUGUCUCAUGCUGAAGUUGCUCUCUGAAAUGAAUUGUAUGUUUAUUUAUUUAUGGAUUAUAUUGUGCCUACUGCCCUCCAUUAAUUGCAAAGGCAGUUCGGAUGUGCUUCGGACAGGGUCACCACACUAUAGGUGCCUGAGGUUAAUGAGGUGAAUCUCAGCCUUUGCUGCUCAGUGAGUACAAAAUAAUGUCCUUGUGCAAGAUGUGCUGCAGCUAAAUAAAUCUAAACAAGGUUAUAUUUAGAAAAGCAUUAUAUUUCACAGAGAAUGUUUCCGUUUUCAGAUAACCUAGCAAACACCACUGAAUGAAUCAAUGGCAUUUGUAUUAUCACCUGAAGUAGCUAUUUGGCAAAACAGGGCACUAAAAGUUACAUACACUUUGUGCAAUUACUUUGCAGUUUAACCAUCAGUGUCCUCAGGAAAUGCUGUCAGUCCCUUUGGGCCAAUAGGCACCCCUUACAGAUCCAAUGUGCCAUGCUUAUAUUGCAAACUGAAAAAUUUUAUCAUUGCUUUAAAUGUUUACUGGUUUAAUCUCCUAAAAGUAGAUCUCAGUUCAGCUCUAACAGACUUUUAAUCAGCUUCGUUUCUGUGUUUCCAGUGCUAUCUUUGCACUCAGAAAUGCUUGCCAUACUGAGACACUGCGGUGAUGGAAGUUGCAGGCCUGAAAUAAGAACAGCAACCUGCGUGAUUGGUCGCCAAGCCUUUUACCUGACAGACUGUAGGCAAAACCCCUUUUCUUGCUCACUGUUUGGUUCUGCUGCGUGGGAAGUGCAGGACAGUUAAAAAGUGGCAGACUAAUACAAGCAGCUGUCAGCGGCUCACAGGCUGACAGCUGCCCUAUUCUUGGGAUUGGCCAUAUCUCCUUGCAAGCAAAAAGCUCGUAGUUGUUGCAAUGCUCGUAGGCCUGUCCUUCCUCACAACGCUUCUGCCUGGGAGGACUCAGUCAAGCAGACAAGCCCAGCCCAAGUGCCAAGGAAGAAUCAGUCAUGAGCAGAAGGGCUCUGGGCGAUUCCCACCCUCCACUGUUUUCUUCACCACAUUAAAGUCCAAGCGUGACUAUAUCUGUCAUUUUUAAGUUUCCCAGAAAAGCAGUACAAAUUUAUAGAGACACAUAAGGAACGCCUUAAGACCAAAGUGUUAUUUAUCCACUUCCAGGUACAAGCCCGAACGUUUGACAGGGAUGUGAAAAAUUCCCUACUGGCUCACACCAGUGGUCCAUCCAGCCUGGCCUUCUGACUUCAAUAGCAGCAGUGGGAUGUGUGAUUCAGAAACGAAUGUGAUUCUACAGUGUUUUACAGUCCAUACCCUCACACACACAGAUCCCCAGAAUUGAAUCAGUUCGUCAGGAAGUUGGGAGAUACUUCUUUGCCCAUUGCCUUUCGUACGGGCCUGUUGCCCGGGAAUAUGACCAACUUAUUUUUGGACUUGAUGACAACCUGCAGUGGCAAUGAAUUCUAUGAGCCUACUUUCUGCUGCACAAAGAACUACUUUCUUUUAUCUACUUUAAGUCAACGUCAUGCUACUUUCAAAUGAGUACCAUAGUACUAGUAUUAAGGGAUUUGCUUGGUAAUAAUUCUGAAUUCACCCUAAUCACUGCUUGCAUGAUUUUGUAAACAAUGCAUUGCCCUUAAACUCUUCCUCCUAACAAUGAAAAAUUCUAGCCUUCUUAAUUUGUCUUUGCCAGACAGCUGCACCAUUCUCUGUCUUGUUUUAUCUGCACUUUCCUGGGCUUCUUCUAGGUCUACUAUGUCCAUCUUGUGAUGGAGACCCGUGCUGUCAGUAUUAUUCAAGGAGACAAGCCAAAGUUCUCUACAGAAGUAAAAUGAUGUCCUGUCUUCUACCCUCAAUACCUUUCCUGGCAAUGCCUAUUAUUUUGCUGGCAUUUAUGGUUGCUACUGUAGGUUCCUCCAGUGACUUCAGAGCACAGUCUUUUGUGAAUCCAAUAUUUUAUUCCUGAGCUGCAAUUGACAGAUCAAAUAAAGCAUCACACAGGCACAGUCUAGAUUACUUUUCUCUAAGAUAUAUUAUGUUCUAUUUCUUAACACUGAAGCUUAUCUGCUCCUCUUUAACUUAGUUUUAUGAGGUCUUCCUUGAGUCCCUCACCACUGACCUAACAUUUUCUUCCCAAGUUUCACCUACAAAUAGAGACAUUCUGCAGUGCACUCCUCUUUCCUGAGCACCAAUGAAGAUGCUGUGGAGAACUGGUCCCACCACUGACUCCUGGGGGACCCCUCUGCUGACUCCAUACUGAAAAGUAACAUUCAAGCCAUCUUCAUUUCCUUAUGUGUUUGAGGAUCUUUGCCCAGAUUACAGUCUGUAUAAUGAUCGGUCCCCUAGAACUGUAGAGUCGUAGAAUGGCUUGAGUUGAAAGGGACCUUAGAGAUCAUUCAGGUCCAACCCCCCUGCCACAGGCAGGGUUGCCAUCCACCAGAUCAGGCUGCCCAGGAGUCCAUCCAACAUGGUCUUGAACAUCUCCUUGGAUGAGCAUCUUACUUGCUCUGUUAAACUUUGUUGUGAGACCUUGUCAAACCCUUUCUGAAGAUCUAGGUAUAGUGUGUGCUAUAGAUACCCCUUAUCCAUAUGUCAACACCUUCACAACAGUCCAGAAAGUGCAGGACUCCCCUUUGCUGGAGACAUGUUGACCCUUUGUGUUAAUCCACAUCCCCAAGGAUCCUGUUCUUCCUUAUAGCCUUUGCCACCUGGCCAGAAGGGAAGACACGUCCCCUCUGGGUCCCUUUCCUACAUGGAGCCAUGCAGGCCCGGCAGUGCUGGGGAUCUGGAGGUGCUGCUGAGGAUCAUUCAGGUCUGCAGGUACACAGCUGAACUCCUUCCAACUGUGGCUGUAAAUCUGGUGCUGUCCUACACUGCAUUCUUCAGUUCUUGUUUACUGAAAGAGCAUGGUUACUACACCGGCGUAGAAAUGAAAGGACGCCUCGAGCAGAAAAUCUGAAAGGCUGAUGCCUUUCCGUCGGUCCCGUUAGGUGGAGCUCUCAGACAAGGAGAAAUGACAUCCCACCAGGCACCCUGAGGAGUCGUUAGCACUGUAUUAUUCAGAUAAAAUUGAAGAACAAAAAUGCAGCUGGAGUUCAUGCAAGUGGCAAUUUGAAGAGUACCUUUAUUCUCAAACAGCUUGACUUCUCUUGUCGGGGAGAGUAUCUGUCAAACCACACGUUUCUCCUUCCUGAGCUCAAAUAACAGGUGGCUGAAAUCUGAAAAGGGCUGAUUUUCAAGAACGUGUUGUAUUUAGCAAGUUAUAUUUACAACCAAAUAGCAAUGCAAUCAUGUCUACUCGCUGCUCCUCUGGGACAGAAUUAAGAAAUAUCACCCAAAUGUGAACAGCAGAUCCGUGAUACAGGCAGGAGUGGGACUGGUCCUUCUCAAGUCACAACUCCACUGUUUAACUACAGGGCCAUAAAACUUCCUUUCCUAGUCUGCUAGCAAUGCCACGAUCCACUCAGACAAAGAAUGAUAUCAAGAAUAAGUCCAUCUGGCAUCAGCCACAGCCCAUAUGAGAUGAAGAUCAACAGCCUGGGAAGAGGAGUGAACUCAGUGCCUAGGGCUGGGCAGUGCUAGCACAAGCUGUCUUCCCCCUUUGCUGAGGGGGGCUGUCAGGUUUGGAUCAGCAGCAACACAAGGGCAGCCCCAGAAGUCAUUGCCUGUGUCAUAAACCAGAUGCCCCAGGGGAUUCUGAAUAACCCUACAGGCAAACAGAAUGGGCCAUCAUCCUCUUUUGUCAUGAAAAGGUAGGAGAUUCACUUCUGCAGCUUCAAGAGAAAUUGGGAAAGUAUGGCUACUUGAUUUUCAGCCCUGAUUUGUGCCUUCAAUUUGAUAAAGAUCCAUUCUUACACGCUUGAGUCAUUUUAGCUACUUUUUCUUGCUUUUUUUCCCCUGUACACUCAGACCUGAAAACUGGAACUCCAGCAUCCCAGGAGGGUACCACUGACGUAAUGUAGCAUGACAAUACAUAACUCCCAUUGGCUUCCUGCGUUGGUGCUCACAAGUGUUCUACGCAGAAAGUCUUUUCUUCAGAACUGUGUUGUGCUGAGGACUGAAUUAAUCUGUUAUUUAAUGUGGCUACUGAGCUUUAUGUUCCCCUGCAAAUUACCAUUACUUGAUAUUUCUUCUUGCUGUGAAUUUUUUUGUCGAGUUUGGACUUGGUGAUCCUUAUGGGUCCUUUCCAGUGUGGGUUAUUCUAUGAUUUUAUGAUUUCCAAACUGUAAAGAUUUAUACUUUCUCAUGUUGUUUGAUCGUUUGCUUUUAAUACAUCUCUUCAUCUGCUGAAUAAUGCAGGUAGAUUUUGGAUUUUCUCAUGACUUUGCCCCACCAAAGUAGCUAACUAGGGUGAAGUCCAUUAAUUGAUAUCACUGAGAACUCAGAACCUGUUUUCUGGCUCUGUCUUCUGAAAGGAAAAUCUGUGUUGUUUGUUUGAUUGCUCCUCAAGCUGCAUGUGCCUUCCCAGGCUUUGAAGCUAUGCCCAUCACUGCAGAACAUGAGAUGACUGAUAACGCCCUUCUCAUUCACAGAACAGACACUGUUCAGCAACAACAUGUUUUGGCCUAAAAAGUGGUGUUUGAGACCUGAUACGUAAUCUAUGAAUUCGUCCAAUCUGGUCAGUGCCCCUUGCUUUGGUGUUCUUAAGAUAUAGAUGCACAUCCACUCAGAAAAUCACUGCUGCCCCAGGCAGUGGCCAGGCCAUCUCUAUCAGCUCUUGGUCACUGGGAACGUUUCAAAGUUGCUCUGGAAACAGAAGGCUCUGAAACUACACAGUGUUAUUCCCAUGAACAAUGCACUGCCCUACAGUUUGCUCUGUUCACAGCCAGCUACUCUUCUAUUACUCUUUUUAUUUUAUUAUUUGCCCACAAAUUUUGUUAUACUUUCUUGUAAGCAGUAAAAAUUCAAGUUUUGUUGAAAUCAGCAAUAAAAAUUCUGAAGCAAAAAAUACCAAUAAAUCUAGUUAUUUAGCCAAUAAACAGAGGUAGGCUAAACUAGUAUGCUCUGAUCCCUGUGCAGCAGUGCCAAGCAGGUGGCCAUACACAAUUUAGCUCACUGACGAUUGCCUGCAGUGUGACCAACGCAUGGCAGUCCUUGGUGCAGACACAUCCAGGAGCAGCUGGCCGAGGGCAUUCACUGGGUAUUUUGGGGCAUUGUCCUGGCACCUGUUCUCCAAUGAAUUGUUCUUUAUCACUUUAAUAAACCGGGAUAUACAUUCUUACAUUUUGGCUUCUAAAAUUCCCGUGAAACCACUGAAAGCUGAGCAUGCGGUGGAAGACUGUAUGUAGGAAUGUUCAGCUUCUGUUGGACAUUCUUGAUGGGAAUCUCCUUCAGUGAACACUGAGAUGUAUGAACUACAAGCCUUUCACCGAUACCCUGAAGUUGCAGGCAAAAGCCACUGUCUUAAAAAAGAAAGGGAUUAGGCUAGCUGGAUGUUUUGGUUGGUAAAGGAGUUGAAAAACAUUAUUUAUUUCAGCAUGAACUCACCGGACCUCUGCCCCUGUUUUCACUGCAGAGAGACACAGGAUGGAUUCAUUUUGAUUCUGUUCUCAGGCGAUGGUAAGAGGAUCGUCUCUGUUGAAUAGCCCUGACUGUUGUGACACCAAGUGUCCUCCACUAGCACAGAGCCCUGUUUGUUCCCCCAGCCCCAGCGACACGCUGGGUCAGACUCCCUACAUUGGGGCUGCACGCAUUCGGCAGAUCUCUUCACCAUCAGUGGGGUUCAGGGGGGACGCAACGUGGCUGACACUGGGACUACAGACCCUGGGCAGCUGGGGAGCAAUGAUGGUGGGCCCAGCAGGGCAAUGCCCCCUCCUGCCAGUUUCCUUCUCUGAGCAACCUGUUCAUCGGGGUCCGUGUAGGUGUGCAAUGCUGUGUGACCGUGGAUUUUUGCACCCAACCUCUGUGCGCAUUGUUGACUGCAGUGGCACCACUGCUGCAGCACAUUUUCAAAGAGAACUGAAGAAAACAAAAAGCUACAUGUACUGGUAUUCCUCUUUAAUUUAAUAUCAUCUUACAAGGUGGAAAUUAAAAUGAUUUUUUCUGUCACCGUUAUCUCACUUCGCUUGGCGAUGAUCGAUUUCCUUCUCCCCUACUGCUUACUAAUAAGACAUCUGAACACUGAGAUGGUUUUUGUGUUUACUUCCUUGUUUAAAUCAGCUUCCCCAGCUAAGGACAGCCUUGGCACUACAUCUGCUCCGCAACUUGUGAUUUCUGCGUUGGCUCCACGCUGACAGAACGUCAGGCAUGGAGAGGUAUAUAUUUUUAAUUACUCGGGGAUGCCCCUGUGUAUACGUACAGGCAAAUUAACUAAGCACAGUCCAAAACCUGCUCCUAGCAGCGCUCACAUGUUACACACACACACACACAUUUCAGGCACCGAGCCUCACCUCUUGGGGCUGACGCAUGGAGAGAUGGUGGCAGGUGAGAACGACACCUUUCUACAAAUGGAACACUGAUGUCCAGGGAGAGGAAUAGACAAAAGUCAGCAUCGCUGAUGUCUGAAAGAAUCUGGUGCUUGCUUCCAGAAAUCAGCGAUCCUUCGCAGAGGUGGGGGUAUGGCAGUGAGCACGGCUGCUGCCUGGGGUCUGGGCACCGUGCUGUGAGCUCCUCGCACCCUGCUAGCACGGCAGCUCCAGCCCUGAUGGAGUUAUUGCGACAGACUAAAAAUGCUCAGUGAACAUCUCACAGUUUAAGGAGAAAAUACCAAAAGGGAAGGGAAGGAAACUUGGCCAUAUGCACAUCGCAGGCGAGGAACCAUGGAAAGAUGGGGCCGAGGCUCUGGAACUGAAUGCUGCUGGGGAGCUGAGUAAUAGGCUCUGCAGGGCACGCUCUCGGGAUGUCAUCCCACACCUUUUGGACGUUUUGCUGUCUGUGGCAUCUCCUUACCGAAUGUGUUUUGUGUCGCCCCAGCUGAAAUCUCUGUGUUCAGCAUUAGUCAGUUUUUAUCUCUGGGAUCUUCACACCCCAAGACCUACACAGUGCUGUCCUAUCUCCUUCCUCUCAAACUUCAUUGUCCUUCGCUUACCCUGUUUCUCUAAGCGGAAAUUUUGGUGUUUCCUUCUCCCUCUUGGCAAAGCUGCUCUUGCUCUUCUCAGGAAGACAACACCUUAAGGUUUCUUUCAGCCCUAUCCUAAACAGUUUCACGAUUUUCUUCACAACGAUCUCUGUAGCAACACCACCUCACCCACAGCUGGGCUGUACCGGGUCCCUUCCCACAUGCAGACCCCGUGGGGGGACCCCACACCACGGCCGGGUCCCGGCCCUGGGCAGAGGCACCCGCGGCACUGCAGGGACCGGGCCGGGAGG